UCAACGGAGAGUUUGAUCCUGGCUCAGGACGAACGCUGGCGGUGUGCUUAAUGCAUGCAAGUCGAACGAGAUCCUCCCACUGGGUAACCAGAGGGAACGAUCUAGUGGCGAACGGGUGAGUAACACGUGAGGAACUUGCCCUGGAGACCGGGAUAGCCCGGGGAAACCCGGAUUAAUACCGGAUACUCUCGAGAUGCCGCAUGGCAAUUCGAGGAAAUGGUCCGCCGCUCCAGGAGAGUCUCGCGACCUAUCAGCUUGUUGGUGAGGUAAUGGCUCACCAAGGCAUCGACGGGUAGCUGGUCUGAGAGGACGAUCAGCCACACUGGGACUGAGACACGGCCCAGACUCCUACGGGAGGCAGCAGCAGGGAAUAUUGCGCAAUGGGCGAAAGCCUGACGCAGCGACACCGCGUGAAGGAUGAAGGCCCUAGGGUUGUAAACUUCUUUCAGUGGGGAAGAAGCGAAAGUGACGGUACCCACAGAAGAAGCCCCGGCUAACUACGUG
rnacentral:rRNA from 1 species